UACGAAGGGGGCUAGCGUUGUUCGGAAUUACUGGGCGUAAAGCGCGCGCAGGCGGUCUUCCAAGUCAGUGGUGAAAGCCCGGAGCUCAACUCCGGAACUGCCAUUGAAACUGUAAGACUUGAGGAUGAGAGAGGUGAGUGGAAUUCCCAGUGUAGAGGUGAAAUUCGUAGAUAUUGGGAAGAACACCGGUGGCGAAGGCGGCGCACUGGCUCAUAUCUGACGCUCAGGCGCGACAGCGUGGGGAUCAAACAGG
rnacentral:rRNA from 1 species